UACGUAGGGUGCAAGCGUUUGUCCGGAAUUAUUGGGCGUAAAGAGCUCGUAGGCGGUCUGUCGCGUCUGCUGUGAAAACCUGGGGCUUAACCCCGGGCCUGCAGUGGGUACGGGCAGACUAGAGUGCGGUAGGGGAGACUGGAAUUCCUGGUGUAGCGGUGAAAUGCGCAGAUAUCAGGAGGAACACCGAUGGCGAAGGCAGGUCUCUGGGCAUUAACUGACGCUGAGGAGCGAAAGCAUGGGGAGCGAACAGG
rnacentral:rRNA from 1 species